rnacentral:rRNA from 1 species
UUUGAUCCUGGCUCAGGAUGAACGCUAGCGGCAGGCCUAAUACAUGCAAGUCGAACGGCAGGCGUCCCUUCGGGGUCGCCGAGAGUGGCGCACGGGUGCGUAACGCGUAUGCAACCCACCCGCCGCCGGGGGAUAGCCCGGGGAAAUCCGGAUUAACCCCCCAUGAGGAGCGGACGAGGCAUCUCGUCCGUUUCAAAACCACGGUGGCGGCGGACGGGCAUGCGUGCCAUUAGAUAGUUGGCGGGGCGACGGCCCAUCAAGUCGACGAUGGCUAGGGGAUCUGAGAGGACGGUCCCCCACACUGGUACUGAGACACGGACCAGACUCCUACGGGAGGCAGCAGUAAGGGAUAUUGGUCAAUGGGGGGAACCCUGAACCAGCCAUGCCGCGUGAGGGAGUGAGGCCCUACGGGUCGUGAACCUCUUUUGCCGGGGGAUAAGGGCGUCCACGCGUGGGCGUUUGAAGGUACCCGGAGAAUAAGCAUCGGCUAACUCCGUGCCAGCAGCCGCGGUAAUACGGAGGAUGCGAGCGUUAUCCGGAUUUAUUGGGUUUAAAGGGUGCGCAGGCGGGCGGUUAAGUCAGCGGUGAAAGGCAGGGGCUCAACCCCGGCAGUGCCGUUGAUACUGGCCGUCUUGAAUGCGGUCGAGGCCGGCGGAAUGUGGCGUGUAGCGGUGAAAUGCAUAGAUAUGCCACAGAACACCGAUAGCGAAGGCAGCUGGCCGGGCCUGCAUUGACGCUGAGGCACGAAAGCGUGGGGAUCGAACAGGAUUAGAUACCCUGGUAGUCCGCACAGUAAACGAUGUGCACUAGGUGUCUGGGCAUAAGCCCGGGUGCCAAAGCAAACGCGAUAAGUGCACCGCCUGGGGAGUAUGCCCGCAAGGGUGAAACUCAAAGGAAUUGACGGGGGCCCGCACAAGCGGUGGAGCAUGUGGUUUAAUUCGAUGGUACGCGAGGAACCUUACCUGGGUUUGACAUACAUACCGAUUAUUUAGAGAUAAGUAAGCGUAGCAAUACGGGUAUGAACAGGUGCUGCAUGGCUGUCGUCAGCUCGUGCCGUGAGGUGUUGGGUUAAGUCCCGCAACGAGCGCAACCCCUACUGCCAGUUACUAACAGGUGAAGCUGAGGACUCUGGCGGAACUGCCGGCGACAAGCCGGAGGAAGGCGGGGAUGACGUCAAGUCAUCAUGGCCCUUAUGUCCAGGGCUACACACGUGCUACAAUGGUCGGUACAGAGUGAAGCGAGGCAGUGAUGCGGAGCAAAACGCAGAAAACCGAUCGUAGUCCGGAUUGGAGUCUGAAACCCGACUCCAUGAAGUUGGAAUCGCUAGUAAUCGCACAUCAGCACGGUGCGGUGAAUA